GACGAACGCUGGCGGCGUGCCUAAUACAUGCAAGUCGAGCGGAAGUUGAAGAGCUUGCUCUUCAACUUUAGCGGCGGACGGGUGAGUAACACGUGGGCAACCUGCCCUGCAGAUCGGGAUAACUCCGGGAAACCGGUGCUAAUACCGAAUAGUUUUCGCCACCUCCUGGUGGCGUACGGAAAGACGGUUUCGGCUGUCACUGCAGGAUGGGCCCGCGGCGCAUUAGCUAGUUGGUGGGGUAACGGCCCACCAAGGCAACGAUGCGUAGCCGACCUGAGAGGGUGAUCGGCCACACUGGGACUGAGACACGGCCCAGACUCCUACGGGAGGCAGCAGUAGGGAAUCUUCCGCAAUGGACGAAAGUCUGACGGAGCAACGCCGCGUGAGUGACGAAGGUUUUCGGAUCGUAAAACUCUGUUGUGAGGGAAGAACAAGUACCACUUAACUACUGGUACCUUGACGGUACCUCACCAGAAAGCCACGGCUAACUACGUGCCAGCCGCCGCUGUAAAAC
rnacentral:rRNA from 1 species